CCUCGGGAGGCAGCAGUCGGGAAUAUUGGACAAUGGAGGAAACUCUGAUCCAGCAAUGCCGCGUGUGUGAUGAAGGCCUUAGGGUUGUAAAGCACUUUCAACGGUGAAGAUGAUGACGGUAGCCGUAGAAGAAGCCCCGGCUAACUUCGUGCCAGCAGCCGCGGUAAUACGAAGGGGGCGAGCGUUGUUCGGAAUUAUUGGGCGUAAAGGGCGCGCAGGCGGUUUGGAUAGUUAGACGUGAAAGCCCUGGGCUUAACCUAGGAACUGCGUUUAAUACUGCCAAACUAGAGAACUAGAGAGGAUAGCGGAACUCCCAGUGUAGAGGUGAAAUUCGUAGAUAUUGGGAAGAACAUCAGUGGCGAAAGCGGCUGUCUGGCUAGUUUCUGACGCUGAGGCGCGAAAGCGUGGGGAGCAAACAGGAUUAGAUACCCUGGUAGUCCACGCCGUAAACGAUGUGUGCUAGAUGUUGGAAGGUUACCUUGCAGUGUCGCAGCUAACGCGUUAAGCACACCGCCUGGGAAGUACGGUCGCAAGAUUAAAACUCAAAGGAAUUGACGG
rnacentral:rRNA from 1 species